rnacentral:lncRNA from 10 species
AAAACAUUCUUUUUUUUUUUUUUUUUGAGAUGGAGUCUCACUCUGUUGUCCAGGCUGGAUUGCAAUGGCGCGAUCUCGGCUCACUGCAACCUCCACCUCCCAGGUUCAAGCAAUUCUCCUGCGUCAGCCUCCCGAGUAGCUGGGAUUACAGGUGUGCACCACCACACCCAGCUAAUUUUUGUAUUUUUUUUUUCGAGAUGGAGUCUCACUCUGUCACCCAGGCUGGAGACUGUCUCAAAACAAAAGAAAACAAAAAAAGUUGGUCUCCUCUGCAAAGACUUGAACACUAAUCUGGUGGAAAGGCUUCCUUUCCCUCGUUUUCUCUUCUACUAAUCCCUGCUUCCAAAUUCUCUUUCUCUUGUCCCUUGAAGAACCAACAGGAUGUGCGAUAUUUCAAGAACGUAAUGAGCAACUCCUCUUUCACAAAGGGAAUAAGCAAUCUGGCAUAGCUUGGAGUCUAGUAUUACGGAAAUACAGUGAUAUACUGAAGACUACACACCAAAAUACAUCCAUUCCUUUAGCUGAAGUCUCAAACAUGUUGGGACUGUUGCCAUGGAAUUUCAUAAAACCUUUUUUCCUGAGACAGACGCCAUGCCACAAAGAAGGAUAAGCCAUUUGUGCAGUCUGAGGUGGAACAUUUUAAUUACUGGCAGCACAUAGACGAGUUGAGUUGGAGCCGAAUGCAUAAGCCCCUUAGAAAUAAAACACUAAUCUACCAGGAAUUUGGGAUUCUUGGCUCUGGUAGAAAUGUUACAAAUUAAGCUGACUCUUAAUUUGUAAAUAGGCUCCAUGAAGUUGUCCCUGGAAGCAGAAUUUAUUUUCCCUAACAUAAUUUCUUAAAAAGUAAAAAAAAAAAGAAGGCUUUGGCAAACAGCUGCAUGUGCCAAUUUGUGUGUAUGCUUUGUGGCAAGAUCAAAAUACCUUUCUGUUUUUUGUUCCUCUCCACCACCUUCUUCACAUUCACAACUCAGUGGUUAAAGGAAAAACUUAACACACCAUUUUCAUACCAAAGGAAUGUGAAACAUGUAUUCAUAUAAAUACUCUUCUGCUUAAUAUCCAUACAUUAGGAGGUUUAAAAAAUACCUUGUGGUUACUGCAUAAUCACAUAUGAAUUAAAGCUAGAAGGGACCUAAGAGAACAUUGAAAUCUAAUUCCUAUUUUAUG